rnacentral:rRNA from 1 species
AUUGAACGCUGGCGGCAGGCCUAACACAUGCAAGUCGAACGGUAACAGGAAGCAGCUUGCUGCUUCGCUGACGAGUGGCGGACGGGUGAGUAAUGUCUGGGAAGCUGCCUGAUGGAGGGGGAUAACUACUGGAAACGGUAGCUAAUACCGCAUAAUGUCGCAAGACCAAAGAGGGGGACCUUCGGGCCUCUUUCCAUCGGAUGUGCCCAGAUGGGAUUAGCUUGUUGGUGGGGUAACGGCUCACCAAGGCGACGAUCCCUAGCUGGUCUGAGAGGAUGACCAGCCACACUGGAACUGAGACACGGUCCAGACUCCUACGGGAGGCAGCAGUGGGGAAUAUUGCACAAUGGGCGCAAGCCUGAUGCAGCCAUGCCGCGUGUAUGAAGAAGGCCUUCGGGUUGUAAAGUACUUUCAGCGGGGAGGAAGGAAGUAAAGUUAAUACCUUUGCUCAUUGACGUUACCCGCAGAAGAAGCACCGGCUAACUCCGUG